UGGCAGGAGUGUUAAAGAACUUAUGGCCAUCUUCAGUUGCAGCAGAUCCUUAAAAAGUUACCAGAAAGGCUGUGUAACUGGCUGGGGGCCAGAUUUCCACAAUCCAGCAUGACAGAUCUGGUCUCUCUGUAGCAUGAACAGCGGCCAACGCCUUGGGAAUCCACUCUGUCCAUUGUCCAGCAGGGGCACUGAGAUGUCCGUCAGGGAGCCCUGCAGUGUGCCAGGCGUGCAGGAGACCACCUAGAAGCUGCAGUGUUGUGGUAGACGAAACAGACUAUCUGUGUCCUUGGGAAGCUUGUGUCCUAGGAGAUCGGACAAGUCAGCCCAGGGAGCCCUGGGAGCAACAACUUAUCUAGAGAUUUUGGGAACUGAAGCUUCUAGUGGGUCAGUGAAAGCAGGAAAAUAUCAGUUCCAGACAU